UACGAAGGGGGCUAGCGUUGCUCGGAAUCAUUGGGCGUAAAGGGUGCGUAGGCGGGUCUUUAAGUCAGGGGUGAAAUCCUGGAGCUCAACUCCAGAACUGCCUUUGAUACUGAAGAUCUUGAGUUCGGGAGAGGUGAGUGGAACUGCGAGUGUAGAGGUGAAAUUCGUAGAUAUUCGCAAGAACACCAGUGGCGAAGGCGGCUCACUGGCCCGAUACUGACGCUGAGGCACGAAAGCGUGGGGAGCAAACAGGG
rnacentral:rRNA from 1 species